rnacentral:rRNA from 1 species
UACGGAGGGUGCGAGCGUUAAUCGGAAUCACUGGGCGUAAAGCGCGCGUAGGCGGCAUUUCAAGUCAGGGGUGAAAUCCCACGGCCCAACCGUGGAACUGCCUUUGAAACUGUAGAGCUUGAGUGUCGGAGAGGGUGGCGGAAUUCCAGGUGUAGGAGUGAAAUCCGUAGAUAUCUGGAGGAACACCGGUGGCGAAGGCGGCCACCUGGACGACAACUGACGCUGAGGUGCGAAAGCGUGGGUAGCAAACAGG